UACGUAGGGUGCAAGCGUUGUCCGGAAUUAUUGGGCGUAAAGAGCUCGUAGGCGGUUUGUCGCGUCUGCUGUGAAAACCCGAGGCUCAACCUCGGGCCUGCAGUGGGUACGGGCAGACUAGAGUGCGGUAGGGGAGACUGGAAUUCCUGGUGUAGCGGUGGAAUGCGCAGAUAUCGCUUGGAACGCCAAAGGUGAAAACAGGUUGCUGGGGGUUGUGCCGACGCUGAGACACGAAAGCCAGGGGAGCAAACGGG
rnacentral:rRNA from 1 species